rnacentral:rRNA from 1 species
UACGUAGGGGGCAAGCGUUGUCCGGAAUCAUUGGGCGUAAAGAGCGUGUAGGCGGCCAGAUAAGUCCGCUGUGAAAUCUCGAGGCUCAACUUCGAGCUGUCGGUGGAAACUGUCUGGCUAGAGUCCGGAAGAGGAGAAUGGAAUUCCUGGUGUAGCGGUGAAAUGCGCAGAUAUCAGGAAGAACACCCGUGGCGAAGGCGGCUAUCUGGCCCGUAAUUGACGCUGAGGCGCGAAAGCGUGGGGAGCAAACAGG